UGUACUGGUUAACUAAUGCUCUAGGAUAAGGGAAGUUACACCACAGACUGUUCCAGGGUUUUCUCAUUAAUUGAUGGAAUAGUACGCUAGCCCUUUAAGAAACGCGAUGUGUGACAUUCUGGAAGAAUCGCGAGAUUCUGCUGUGUACAGCGCGUGGUCACAACGUGAUUUGAAGUGCGGCUCAUGCGGUGGAGUGCUGAGGCCAUUAGACGCAGAUGUUACUGUUAAAAUAACAAAAAAGCACAUAUAGUAACUUGGAAGUCUCUCUUAGUGUGUUGUGAGGAUUGUGUGUUGUGCUGAGGGAACUUUGAAAUUCUGUCGACUCGAGAUGCAUACCUAUGUGGAGAAAUCCGAUCGACAAUAAAUCUCGAAGCAGGGGAGAGGAGUAUUCUUAAGGCCUCCUGAGUGUUUCCAGGCCGAGUGUGAAGCAACAGAAAGGAGAAUUGAGUUCAGCAUUCAAUGUGACAGUGUGUACAUGCUAUAAAGUGUGUUGAUGAACAAAUACGAGUCCACUAUCGUUGUCUAUGUUAAUUAGAUUCCAGUAGUUUAUUUGUUAAUGUGGUGACUGAGAACAGAAAGACAAGAGAGACUAGAGUUGAUAACAAAAUAUCUUUAUUGAUUCCAACCAAUGUAACAAGCUUUCCUGUCUAGUAUCACAUAUUUGCAUAGUUAACGCUGCGCUGUUUCAAGUGCAGUCUGGAAUAAACGAUCCCACAGAUAAUUUAAA